AUACCAUUGGCGGACGCUAUGCGUACGCUAUUUGGAAUGAGUACAAUUUAAACACCUUAGCGAGGAACAAUUGGAGGGCAAGUCUGGUGCCAGCGGCCGCGGUAAUUCCAGCUCCAAUAGUGUAUAUUAAAGUUGCUGCGGUUAAAAAGCUCGUAGUUGGAUUUCGGAAUGUCGUCGGUCAAAGCUCGUCCUUGUGGCGUGGCUGGAUUGGCGCUUCCUAGCUUCGGAUUGGCCAGCAAUGGUCUCCGAUCAUUUACUUUGAAAAAAUUAGAGUGUUCAAAGCAGGCGUAACCUUGCCAUUGAAUAUUACAGCAUGGGAUAAUAGAAUAUGACGUUGGUCUUAUUUUGUUGGUUUCUAAGGCUGAUGUAAUGAUUAAUAGGGAUAGUUGGGGUCGCUCGUAUUGAGUUGUCAGAGGUGAAAUUCUAGGAUUUACUCAAGACGAACUAGUGCGAAAGCAUUCGACAAGGAUGUUUUCAUUAAUCAAGAACGAAAGUUGGGGGAUCGAAGAUGAUCAGAUACCGUCGUAGUCUCAACCAUAAACUAUGUGGACCAAGGAUCCGAGGACGUUACAUGGAUGACUCUCCGGGCACUUUGUGAGAAAUCAUAAGUAUUUGCAUUCCGGGGGGAGUAUGGUCGCAAGGCUGAAACUUAAAGGAAUUGACGGAAGGGCACCACCAGGAGUGGAACCUGCGGCUUAAUUUGACCCAACACGGGGAAACCUACCAGGUCCGGACACUAUGAGGAUUGACAGAUUAAGAGCUCUUUCUUGAUUUAGUGGGUGGUGGUGCAUGGCCGUUUUUAGUUGGUGGAGUGAUUUGUCUGGUUAAUUCCGUUAACGAACGAGACCUUAACCUAUUAAUUAGUGACGCGAAUUUGGGCCAGCAAUGGUCCAGUCGAUUCGUGGGCGCACUUCUUAGAGGGACUCUCGGCAUCUCUAGCCGAUGGAAGUUUGAGGCAAAAACAGGUCUGUGAUGCCCUUAGAUGCCCUGGGCUGCACGCGCGUUACAGUGCGUUCCGCAACGAGUGUUUAUUCCUUGCCCGAUGGGGCUGGGUAAGCUUUGAAAAAGAACGCGUGAUGGGGAUUGAACCUUGCAAUUAUUGUUCAUGAACGAGGAAUUCCUAGUAGGCGCAGUUCAUCAAACUGCGCCGAUUACGUCCCUGCCCUUUGUACACACCGCCCGUCGCUCCUACCGAUUGAAUGGUCCGGUGAGAACUCAGGAUAGUUGUACUUUAGCUUAUCCGCAAGGGUAAGCGGGUACGAUUAGAAUCUGUUCAAACCUUACCAUUUAGA
rnacentral:rRNA from 1 species